rnacentral:rRNA from 1 species
GUCUACGGCCACGCCACCCUGAACAAGCCCGAUCCCGUCUGAUCUCAGAAGCUGAGCAGGGUCGGGCCUGGUUAGUCCUUGGAUGGGAGACCACCUAGGAAGACCAGGUGCUGUAGGCA